AAGGCUGUUGGCUGGAGCCUCAGAAAACCCAGCCACACCGCCUGUGUUUGGUCUUCAAGAGAAUCACCAUUCGUUUCCACUGGACUCCCAGCAAACAUUCCAGAUUCUCCCUUUUUGGAUCGUAUCUAAGAAGAAUCUAAGGAGUUCCUGGACUAUAUUAUGGCACAGUGGUUGAGGCUUAAGCAUGCUUAUGUGCUCAGGAUUUGAAAUUGAGAUUUGUUACAUAAACGCUAAGGCCCUGGGUAAGUCCGUUAGUGGCCCUUGCCUCUGUGUCCCCAUGUGGAAGAUGACGAUAAAAAAGACGACCUUUUUCAGAGAUCUGGUGUGAGGAUUGGAUGAAUUCACUCAUGCCAAGUGUUUACAGAGCCUUGACACACGAUGAAGCGAAAUCUUCACUUCAAGUAGACGGCUGAUUUUGGUGAGGACCACAGUCCUUCCCCCAGGACCAGAAGAAGACAUGGAGCUCGUGAGCCAACUCUUCUGGAGCUCCAAGGGAAGAAACUUGGCAGGGAAUUCCACUCCUGUGCCUCCUCCGCUCCGGGUGAAGGCAGGCAUUCUCCUUAGCUCUAUGCAGAUCUGCAGGCAGCGAGCUUGGUCCACGGAGAGAUUGGCUCACUGCUCAGGGGCCUCCCUCUCUUGCCAAGACUUCUCACGCUGGUCUCCUCUUUGUCACAGUCUAGAGAGACCUACCUCCCUGGGAUUUACAUAAGGUGGAGCACAGUGCUCUCCAGCUAAGAAUAUAUCCACCCCCUAUCCCUGGGUGAAGUGCCUGGGAGGUGAGGAAACAGACUCACUCCAUCUCUGACUCAAUGAAGA